CCCUUAGAUGUUCUGGGCCGCACGCGCGCUACACUGAUGCAUUCAACGAGCCUAUCCUUGACCGACAGGUCCGGGUAAUCUUUGAAUCUGCAUCGUGACGGGGAUAGAUUAUUGCAAUUAUUAAUCUUCAACGAGGAAUGCCUAGUAGGCGCAAGUCAUCAGCUUGCGUCGAUUACGUCCCUGCCCUUUGUACACACCGCCCGUCGCUCCUACCGAUUGGGUGUGCUGGUGAGAUGUUCGGAUCGGCCGUUUGUCGCGGUUUCCGCGGCUCGUGGCUGAGAAGUUCAUUAAACCCUCCCACCUAGAGGAAGGAGAAGUCGUAACA
rnacentral:rRNA from 1 species